UACGUAGGGCGCAAGCGUUAUCCGGAAUUAUUGGGCGUAAAGAGCUCGUAGGCGGUUUGUCGCGUCUGCCGUGAAAGUCUGGGGCUUAACUCCGGAUCUGCGGUGGGUACGGGCAGACUAGAGUGCAGUAGGGGAGACUGGAAUUCCUGGUGUAGCGGUGAAAUGCGCAGAUAUCAGGAGGAACACCGAUGGCGAAGGCAGGUCUCUGGGCUGUAACUGACGCUGAGGAGCGAAAGCAUGGGGAGCGAACAGG
rnacentral:rRNA from 1 species